rnacentral:rRNA from 1 species
GACGAACGCUGGCGGCGUGCCUAAUACAUGCAAGUAGAACGCUGAAGAGAGGAGCUUACUCUUCUUGGAUGAGUUGCGAACGGGUGAGUAACGCGUAGGUAACCUGCCUUGUAGCGGGGGAUAACUAUUGGAAACGAUAGCUAAUACCGCAUAACAAUGGAUGACACAUGUCAUUUAUUUGAAAGGGGCAAUUGCUCCACUACAAGAUGGACCUGCGUUGUAUUAGCUAGUAGGUGAGGUAAUGGCUCACCUAGGCGACGAUACAUAGCCGAACUGAGAGGGUGAUCGGCCACACUGGGACUGAGACACGGCCCAGACUCCUACGGGAGGCAGCAGUAGGGAAUCCUCGGCAAUGGGGGCAACCCUGACCGAGCAACGCCGCGUGAGUGAAGAAGGUUUUCGGAUCGUAAAGCUCUGUUGUAAGUCAAGAACGGGUGUGAGAGUGGAAAGUUCACACUGUGACGGUAGCUUACCAGAAAGGGACGGCUAACUACGUG